rnacentral:tRNA from 1 species
GGCUUGUUGGUCUAGGGAUAUGAUUCUCGCUUUGAGUGCGAGAGGUCCCGGGUUCAAAUCCCGGAUGAGCCC